GAGGCUUUAGCUUAAGUAUAAAGUGUCUGAGUUGCAUUCAGGUGAUGUAAGGUGUAGCUUACAAGUCUUC
rnacentral:tRNA from 1 species